UUAUCUCCUUUCUUUUUUUUUUUGGGAAAACUUCAAAAAACCUCCCUGUGGUUUCACACUUUUUUAUUUUAAUACUAUAUAGUUUAAAGUUUAUCAAAUUAGUACCCUGUGAUUUCUCACUUUAUCACUUUAGUAUACUGUGGUUUAAAGUGUAUCAAGUUAGUACCCUGUGGUUUUGCACUUUAUCACUUUAGUACCCUGUGGUUUCACACUUUAUCACUUUAGUAUCCUGUGAUUUAAAAAACCACAGGAUACUAAUUUGAUACAAAAUUAAAACCACUGGGUACUAAAGUGAUAAAGUGCAAAACCAUACGGUACUAACUUGAUACACUUUAAACCACGGGGUACUAAAGUGAUAAGGUGAGAAACCACAGGGUACUAACUUGAUACAUUUUAAACCACAGGAUACUAAAGUGAAAAAUAUUGAAACCUCAAGGGGGUUUUUGAAGUUUUCCUUUUUUUUUU
rnacentral:lncRNA from 1 species